rnacentral:rRNA from 1 species
UACGUAGGGGGCAAGCGUUGUCCGGAAUCAUUGGGCGUAAAGCGCGUGUAGGCGGCCCGGUAAGUCCGCUGUGAAAGUCGGGGGCUCAACCCUCGAAUGCCGGUGGAUACUGUCGGGCUAGAGUGCGGAAGAGGAGAGUGGAAUUCCUGGUGUAGCGGUGAAAUGCGCAGAUAUCAGGAAGAACACCCGUGGCGAAGGCGGCUCUCUGGGACGGUACUGACGCUGAGACGCGAAAGCGUGGGGAGCGAACAGG